rnacentral:miRNA from 1 species
AAUACGGCAUGCCAAAUUCAAUUUGAAUUUCAGAUAAACAACAAAUAAUAUUUUAGUAUAAUAUACCCAUGCAACAUUUGGGACAUAGUUAUGCUAAAAAUCAUUUGUUGUUCAUCUGAAAUGCAAAUUUAACCGAGCGUUCUGUAUUUU